ensembl:lncRNA
UUGGUCAUCCUAAAACUCUCUUGCCGGUGUAUUUUUGGGGGGGGGCAUUUGAUCCGUAUGGCUGUGUCUAGAACCAUCUUGUUUCCUGCUUUGUCAGUUUUAUGGUCUUAUAGCUUUCUGUCCUCCUUCAUCCCUUCAGUAAGAUAUGGCCAGUAAAAUUUCUCCACAUAGCUGAAAUUGUUCUUAUUUCCAAAGAUCUUCUACUGAGUGAGAGACUCCUACUGUUUAAGAGAUCCAAUUCUGCAAAGGAGCUCAAUGAAUAUAUUCAUGUGUCUCAGAUGUAUGCUAGGGCUCACACCUACCUUUUCAAACCAUUUCAGGGGAUUUGGAGUCAUACUCUCUUUGUUAUAAAACAUACUAUUUUAUAUAUAUAGUUAAAUAUAUUUUAUGAAAGGCUGAAGGAGAGCUAUAGCAACAUCUUAUUUGUUAUUUGUUAAAGAAUUUAACAAAUUUGUUUUUGUUUUAUGUGUGGGCAGGAUUCAUCCACAUGAUUCAAAAAUAAGGUUCUGAAAAAGAGAAGUUGCCUGGUAGAAGAAAAUAAAAUAAAAUAAAACAGUUAUAAUUCCUUUCCCAUCUGGUAAAUCACAUCUAGUUAUAAUUCUUGCGUAUUGGUUAGCUCCCAAAAAUUGUGUUAGAAAGCAAUUCUGGCCUUGCUGGCUGAGUCUGCAAGAUAAAGCUGCCCUCCAUCAGCAGAUCGCUCUUGGUCUGAUGAAGUGGAACAAGAGCAAAUAUUUGUAGCUAUGGAUCUCGUGUGUAAAUCAGGUGAAUUGUUCACCAGGUUAGCAUCUUUUCUAAUAUUUGGAUCAUCUCUGUCUUUUGCAUUGCUGUAUCUGUGGUUUUGUUCUAUUUUAUUUCUUUAAAAGAUUUUUGAAGGAAUUUCUUUUUCCUAUUUAUAGUGUGAAGAUUUUAAAAUAUGACUAAACUGUGGGAGCAAAGGUCAAUUGUUUGUGUAUGCAUUAAAAUGAAAUAUUAUCCUCAAUAUUUGCUGAGUUAUGACUGUAUUUAAUGCAUAGAUCUGAGACUUAGGUCAUCAGGGUCACCUGCAUUGUCAAGAGUCACAUAUAGCUACCCGUGAAAUCACUGCUCUUUUCCUCCUAUAUAACUUAUGGCCUCACCCUGACCUGCAGCUGCUACGUCUCCUCUCCUGAACUGCUGGAUGCCUUUCUUGCCGUCCAGGUCCCAUCCAUUGUCUGCUGAUCCACAAAAAGCAGCUGCAGGGCAAGAUGAAAGCUUUAAUCCUUCUGCUCAGCUUCCAGGAGUUCAGGAGCACACAGUCUCUCUUGGCUCACCCUGCGAAGCUCUGAGAGCCAAGGGAGCUCUGACAGAGGCCAUUUGUGGAGCCCGGUAGAGGAAUGGUUUCUGUCCAGGUCCAAAAUAGUAUUUCUGCAUGUUUGGCAAUCUAUGAAUUAUUAUUGAACACUUCAAAUAUAAUUAGGAGUUAGUAAUUCCUAUGCUAGGAAUUACUGAUAACAGUAAUAGAAAACAAUUUUUUAUUCUUUAUGUAAAUAUAUGUGUGCAUUCCCAUGCAUACACAGUUCAAGCAUCUCUGCUUAUCCAUUCCUUGAAUAUCAGUUUCAUUAGUUUGGCAGGGCAGGGGAUAAUAUGUGAUGUUGCAAAAGCAUAAUGGUCUGUUCCUGAAAUUUGUCAAAUAAUGACCUAUCCUCAGCCGAGAUGAACUAUGCCAAAGUGUCCAAACUACGGUUCAUGUUCAUAUGUUGUUUGAAAAAUACUUACUCUUACGUGAUGUUAGAUGUCUCUGUUAUAGAAUCUCUCUGGUUACUUCUGAUAAUCAUACUGCAUGGAUCAAACCCAAACUAUUUUCUUACCAAGCUCUCAAUAACAACCAUAAUGGUUUAAGACUCAAAGUGUGGGCCUUAACUGAGAAUCUGUGGCAAGAGGUAUGAUAGCAUUUAUUUUUCUGCAGUGAUUUCUCUUAUAUCGUUAUACGCCAUUAUUGUUUUAAUUCUGUAUUACUUAGAGACUUUUGAUAAAAACUAUAUUUUGGGUUGCUACACCAGCACACAUAAUAAUGAUCUCUAUAUUUUCUUUGUUUCAUCUGCUAGUUAACCACAACUUCCAGCUAAAUGCACAACAGCCUGAUAAAGCUGUUUGUACACCAGACAAUGAACUGCAUAAGAGAUGUAGUUCUGUUUGUUUCUUCAGGAAAACCUCCUAUGAGCAGAGAAGAUGGCAAAGAAGAAAUCCCAGCUAUUUGAAAGCCACAGGUGAUAUUCCAGUAUUGUAGAUGAAUAAGAAACCACACUGUUAUUAAACUUGAAAGAUACCAACAUCUCUGAGCUUGACAGCAUCCCAUGGAAGAUAUAUUUCCUGCUGCUACAGAAACAUAAAGGUGAUCCAAAGGUAAAUCAGCAGUGACAGAUCAGUGACCAUACUGCACACUCAGCAUCCUCAAGAGAUCUGUUUUUGUCUGCAUAGCUCAUACUUAUCUAAAGAGUUUUCUUAUACAUAAUUAACUUGAGGAUUUGAUAGCCAUAAAGUGUUUAUUUGCAAGAUGUUUUCAAGCAAAAUUAAAAAAAAAAUAGCUUGUGCUAAAA